rnacentral:rRNA from 1 species
ACGGCAGCACGGGAGCUUGCUCCUGGUGGCGAGUGGCGAACGGGUGAGUAAUGCGUCGGAACGUACCGAGUAAUGGGGGAUAACGCACCGAAAGGUGUGCUAAUACCGCAUACGCCCUGAGGGGGAAAGUGGGGGAUCGCAAGACCUCACGUUAUUCGAGCGGCCGACGUCUGAUUAGCUAGUUGGUGGGGUAAAGGCCUACCAAGGCGACGAUCAGUAGCGGGUCUGAGAGGAUGAUCCGCCACACUGGAACUGAGACACGGUCCAGACUCCUACGGGAGGCAGCAGUGGGGAAUUUUGGACAAUGGGGGCAACCCUGAUCCAGCCAUUCCGCGUGAGUGAAGAAGGCCUUCGGGUUGUAAAGCUCUUUCAGCUGGAACGAAACGGUACGCGCUAACAUCGUGUGCUAAUGACGGUACCAGCAGAAGAAGCACCGGCUAACUACGUGCCAGCAGCCGCGGUAAUACGUAGGGUGCGAGCGUUAAUCGGAAUUACUGGGCGUAAAGCGUGCGCAGGCGGAUUGUUAAGCAAGAUGUGAAAUCCCCGGGCUUAACCUGGGAAUGGCAUUUUGAACUGGCAGUCUAGAGUGCGUCAGAGGGGGGUGGAAUUCCACGUGUAGCAGUGAAAUGCGUAGAUAUGUGGAGGAACACCAAUGGCGAAGGCAGCCCCCUGGGAUGACACUGACGCUCAUGUACGAAAGCGUGGGUAGCAAACAGGAUUAGAUACCCUGGUAGUCCACGCCCUAAACGAUGUCAACUGGUUGUUGGGGGAGUGAAAUCCCUUAGUAACGAAGCUAACGCG